AAAUUUUACCCUUGAAUUAGUUUAACAAUAUUGUUUUCUUUCUCUCUUUUUCUUUUUCUUUUUUUUUCUUUUUUGAGAUGGAGCUUCUCUCUUGUUGCCCAUCCUAGAGUGCAAUGGCAUGACCUCUGCUCACCACAACUUCCACCUCCUGGGUUCAAGCAAUUCUCCUGCCUCAACCUCCUGAGUAGCUGGGAUUACACAUGCACAUCACCACCUGGCUAAUUUUUUGUAUUUUAGUAGAGACAGGGUUUCACUGUGUUGCCCAGGCUGGUCUCAAACUACUGAGCUCAGGCAAUUCACCCGCCUCGGCCUCCCAAAGUGCUAGGAUUACAGGUGUGAGCCACCUAAGUGCUUAUUUUUUAAGCCAAUUAAUUAUAGCUUCGUUUUUA
rnacentral:lncRNA from 10 species